AAAGUGGCUCAGGGGUAGAGCAAUUCACUCGUAAUGAAUAGGUCGCGGGUUCGAUUCCCGCCUUUG
rnacentral:tRNA from 1 species